rnacentral:rRNA from 1 species
CGUGCUUAACACAUGCAAGUCGAACGGAACUCUUUGGAUCAAGACUUCGGUCAAGUGAGAUUGAGUUAGUGGCGGACGGGUGAGUAACGCGUGAGGAACCUGCCUCGGAGUGGGGAAUAACACAGUGAAAAUUGUGCUAAUACCGCAUAAUGCAGUUGAGUCGCAUGGCUCUGACUGCCAAAGAUUUAUCGCUCUGAGAUGGCCUCGCGUCUGAUUAGCUAGUUGGCGGGGUAACGGCCCACCAAGGCGACGAUCAGUAGCCGGUCUGAGAGGAUGAACGGCCACAUUGGGACUGAGACACGGCCCAAACUCCUACGGGAGGCAGCAGUGGGGAAUCUUCCGCAAUGGGCGCAAGCCUGACGGAGCAACGCCGCGUGAGUGAAGAAGGUUUUCGGAUCGUAAAGCUCUGUUGAGAGGGACGAGAGAUAUAAUCAGGAAAUGGGUUAUAGAGGACGGUACCUUUCGAGGAAGCCACGGCUAACUACGUG